CGCUGAAAGAAAUCGACGGGGGUUAAAGCGAAUUUAGUUUUGAUUUAAAAAUUAUUCUUUUAAUUAAAUGAACAAUUGAACGUGCAAUGUGAUAAUAAGAGUUUACCGAUGUGAAUAUGAAAAGUGUAUUAAAAUGCAUGUGUACGAUUGUGGUGCAAAUAGUUUGUCCAUGUCUGUAGAGUUGUAAAAGUGUCCGCGUGUGAACAAUAUUGUAAAAGUUUCAAAAUGUUGUAAAAUAUUUCGUGUGCGUCGCCAUUUUAGCAAGAAAUAUGACCAGCAGUUCUGUGUUUUUCCUCUUCUCGAUACUCUUUGUGCACCGUGAAGGGGAGGGCGAGUGUAGAAAAUGUGUAUUUUUACGAGUGGCACUACCACACCACCGUACCGCAGUACCGCAGUUGCUGCGUUGGUAUUGAGGUGUGUGUUUAUGAACGCAGAGGCAUCGACUGCUCGAAUCGCUGCGUUCGGCGAACGGGGCCAACACAGCAACCCGACUGCGCGCUGGUGUUCUUUGUGUGACGGCCGCGUAAAAGAGAAAAAAUCUGAUUACGAGCGGAGUCGAUUUCGUCAUGCGAUGUGUUGCGGUUGUGUGCGUAGCGACAUCGCACCAACACACAGGGAAGUGUUGUUAACGCGACGAAUUCGAGCAGUCGCGUCGUUGAACGUUCGAAGCUCGUAAAAAACACUUUGGCAAAAAUGGAAUUCGACGUUAAUGCGGCUAAAGAUAUGUUUGAUGCAAAGAGAAGAUGGAGAAGG